CCUACGGGUGGCAGCAGUGAGGAAUAUUGGUCAAUGGCCGGAAGGCUGAACCAGCCAAGCCGCGUGAAGGACGAAGGUGCCAAGCAUUGUAAACUUCUUUUAUAAAGGAAUAAAGUGAGGCACGUGUGCCUUUUUGUAUGUACUUUAUGAAUAAGGAUCGGCUAACUCCGUGCCAGCAGCCGCGGUAAUACGGAGGAUCCGAGCGUUAUCCGGAUUUAUUGGGUUUAAAGGGAGCGUAGAUGGGUUGUUAAGUCAGUUGUGAAAGUUUGCGGCUCAACCGUAAAAUUGCAAUUGAUACUGGCAGUCUUGAGUACAGUUGAGGUAGGCGGAAUUCGUGGUGGAGCGGUGAAAUGCUUAGAUAUCACGAAGAACUCCGAUUGCGAAGGCAGCUUACUAAACUGCCACUGACAUUGAUGCUCGAAAGUGUGGGUAUCAAACAGGAUUAGAUACCCUGGUAGUC
rnacentral:rRNA from 1 species